ACCGCGACGGUUGCGUCAGGGGCGUGCUCGUUGCUGCCGACGGUACCGCUGCAGCCCGCGCUCCUCGCCGGGCGUCCAGCUUCUGUGUCUCUUCUUUUUCGUCAGCAAGAACCAGACCGCCACUCCCUCGGGUCGCGCGAGCCCGGCUGCAACGCAAGGCCGUCACCACCACAACCAGUCGUCCAAAUUCGGUGGAAGACGACAGACGACUGUUACCUUCACCAGUGUUGGAGAGACGGCGUCGAAUGGAAGAUGUUUACCGUGUGAAAGUGUUAAUCUGGUGUUGUUCAUAGCGUAUUGUUUGCGCGCUUUUUUUGUUUUCUCUCGAGAUUCUAUUCGCUAGUGUUUUCUCUGUAUCUUCGAGAUCACUCAGUGUCGAGUACCUCCCGUUACUGUCAUUGACAGUCAAACCACAAGAAAGUUAACACUAAUCCGUCAUUUUGCACUAACCGCGUUAGCAGAACACAAACAUUUCUGAAAGUGAGAAUGUCGACGAAAAGAACGUGUGACGUUUAGCGUGAAUAGCACAUUCAGUUUUCAUUUGUGCGAUUUUAUGAGUGAGUAGCUAGUGCAUGAUAGUGUUAUCUGUUGUGUGUUCAGUGUUAGCGGGUUGCAAUGCGAUGCUGACCGCAGGAUCUGCAACGUAAAAUUGUUUUUGAUCUGUCAUAGUUGGCUGCGCGUAUCGCGUUCGCUGCGACAGUCUUUUGUCGACUCAGUCAGCGUGUGUGUGCGUGUGACGCAGGAUGUUAUUCCCGUGUUGUGCUUGACAGAUACGAUAAAACUGCGUUCAUCGGAUUGCAGCGGAACUUCGACUGGAAAAAGAAGGAUACUGGAACUCAGCCUCGAGAAGGCAAGGACGCCGUGACUUGGCGUGUAUGGAAUUGUACCGGCCAGCACAACGUCUCGAUAGGCCAGCAACGUCGGGGUCGGGAUUGCAACAGGAAGUGAGCAUGCGGAGCCCGGACGUCUUCAGCGCGUAGAGUGAUCGUCGAUUUCGCCAGGAUGCCGCCCAGACAGCUGUACCACAGGCCCAACACCGGAUGGUGCUGACUCCACACGUCCGCUCCUUCUGACGAG